CCCUAGCCCUGAUAGAAGGGAAAAUCCUUUUUUAUUGUUUUUUCUACAAUAAAAAAGAUUGGAAUGAUAGCAGGAAAUAGC
rnacentral:sRNA from 1 species